AUUUUUGUCAACUUUUAGCCUUUCAGGCUCAGGUCCUGGUUUUACUGUCGCCUUUAAGUCCGUUCUGUUUGCUCAGCCUCCCGGAAGGGAGCCGUGCCGCUCUGGGGAGAAGGUCGUUGUGCCUCGGUGCGGCGUCCUUCCCCUCCCGACGGGGAGCCGGUGGGAGAGGACGACGGCCGGCGGGGGGAGGAGGCGGCCCUAGCGCCAUUUUGUGGGAGCGAAGCGGUAGCUGGGCUGCUCCUGGAACCGUCGCUGCUUCGGGUUCCCUGUCGGGCUUCCUAGCAGCGGCCUAACGGAAAACUAAGAGAAGAUGUCUGAAUAUAUUCGGGUAACCGAAGAUGAGAACGACGAGCCCAUUGAAAUACCAUCAGAAGACGACGGGACCGUGCUGCUGUCCACGGUUACAGCCCAGUUUCCAGGGGCCUGUGGGCUGCGCUACAGGAAUCCAGUGUCUCAGUGUAUGAGAGGCGUCCGGUUGGUGGAAGGAAUUCUGCAUGCUCCCGAAGCCGGCUGGGGAAAUCUGGUAUAUGUUGUCAACUAUCCCAAAGAUAACAAAAGAAAAAUGGACGAGACGGAUGCUUCUUCAGCAGUGAAAGUGAAAAGAGCUGUCCAGAAAACAUCUGAUUUAAUAGUGUUGGGUCUCCCGUGGAAAACGACUGAACAGGAUCUAAAAGAAUAUUUUAGUACCUUUGGAGAGGUUCUUAUGGUUCAGGUCAAGAAAGAUCUCAAAACUGGUCAUUCAAAGGGGUUUGGUUUUGUUCGUUUUACGGAAUAUGAAACCCAGGUGAAAGUAAUGUCACAGCGACAUAUGAUAGACGGACGAUGGUGUGACUGUAAACUUCCUAAUUCUAAGCAAAGCCCAGAUGAGCCUUUGAGAAGCAGGAAGGUGUUUGUUGGGCGCUGUACAGAGGACAUGACCGCCGAUGAGCUGCAGCAGUUUUUUUGCCAGUAUGGAGAAGUGGUAGACGUCUUCAUUCCCAAACCGUUCAGGGCUUUUGCCUUCGUUACGUUUGCAGACGAUCAGGUUGCCCAGUCUCUUUGUGGAGAGGACUUGAUCAUUAAAGGAAUCAGCGUCCAUAUAUCCAAUGCUGAACCUAAGCACAAUAGCAAUAGACAGUUAGAAAGAAGUGGAAGAUUUGGUGGUAAUCCAGUUCAUCUCAUUUCAAAUGUUUAUGGAAGAAGCACUUCAUUGAAAGUAGUGCUGUAAAUAUUCUGCCAUAGGAAUACUUCCGUCUACAUGCUCUCUCAUUCAAGACUUCGUCAUCACACUGCACAGGCUGCGUCUUUGACGCCCUGAAUGCAAAGAAUUCAUAGCAGUUAAUUCCCCUUUUUUGACCCUUUUGAGAUGGAACUUUCAUAAAGUUUCUUGGCAGUAGUUUAUUUUGCUUCAAAUAAACUUAUUUGAAAAGUUGUCUCAAGUCAAAUGGAUUCAUCACCUGUCAUGCAUUGACACCUGAUACCCAGACUUAAUUGCUAUUUGUUCUUGCAUUGUCCAAAGUGAAAAGCUUUUUUUUUUUUUUCUUUUGAAACCUAGUUUUUAAUAAGUCUGGGUGACCGCACCUAAAAUGGUAAGCAGUACCCUCCAGUUUUUUUUUAUUAGUGCCUCUGUGCAUUUGGGUGAUGUUCUAUUUACAUGGCCUGUAUGAAUCUCCAUUGGGAAUCAUGCCUUCUAAAAAUAUUCUUAUUUGGGGGGAGUGGGAAAAACAACGUUGAUUAUUUUCAAAUGCUUUGUAGCAAAGCAUAGCAGUUGGAAAGGAGGGCAUUUCAGCACCUUUCUAGUUUGGGAUUUGAAAAGUGGAAUUAAUUGCAGUAGGGAUAAAGUAGAAGAAACCACAAAUUUAUCUUGUGCCUGAAAUCCAUUACAAAGCCUGAUAGCUUUAAGAACUAGCAGGGUGGGAUGUCUGUCUGAAAGUGUUAAGUGAAAUGGGCUUUGUCCUCCACAGGUGGGGGAAUAGAGUAACGUUGAAUGAAAUCGUUGACAGAAAACUCAGAUUAGACUCUCACGGCGCAUUGUGCAGUAUGUAAAAGCAAUAAUCUAUGAUUCUCUGUUGUACUUUUUAUGUAACUGCUGUGAGAGUUGAGCUUGUUUUCUGAUGGAAGAAUGUUAACAUUUUUGUGUCGGUAGCUUACCUGAUGCCCUUCUCUAAUUAGAUGAUGAUAACUAGGUUUGUCAUUUUUGUUUUUCAAGUUACAUGUUUUAAGCUUUUAGAAAUGAAGUCGUCCUUUAGACUUGUGAUCGCCACGUUGUUUCGUUACUCAGUUUCCUCUGUAAAAGGAUCUUGCAUUGUUUUAAUUUUUUUCUGCAUCUGCAUUGCAUGAUUUCCAAACCCUGUACCAUCUGAAUUUUGCAUUUUAGCACUUGCACUGUUACUCAGCAGCAGUAACUUGGUAACACUUAAAAUGGUAUUCGGGGACCUCCAAAGACUAAACUGACAAGCCUUCAAGGAGCCCAGGGGUAAGUUCACUUGUCAAUGGCAUGGUUUUAAUCCCUUACUUGCACUUGUUGUGAAUCUAGUUUCCGGUCUUAGAAGGCUUUCAAUCUGCAGCAGCCUUCUGUUAACAAUGUUUGUGGUACUAGUAGCUGUGGGUAUUUAAUUCUACCCUUAAAAUUAAAAAAAAAAAAGAAAAAGAAAUGAAGUCUAGAAGUAAAACUAUUUGGCAAAGAUUUGUUUUUAAAAUUAAAAGUCUUAUUUGGUCAUCUCAAUGCAUUCAUUCUUAAAACUUUUUUGAACCAGUUGAAUAAAAAAUUUGUUGCCACCACAGUUUAGUGUCUGGAGUCUUACUGGAAAAAUUCAAUUUCUUUUUUAUAUGUGACAAAGGUGAUGGAAAGUUACUUUGGAGAAGUCUCAAGAAGUUCCCCUUUAAUACGCACAAGAGGAAUCAGGCAGAAACUCAAAAUGAAUUUUUACACGAGUGGUAAAUAUUUGGCUAGAAUGAAACUCUUUGUUAAGCGUUAGCUAUUAAGACUUUAAGGAGGAAUAGCCAGCCGAAAUGACCUGAGAUCUUUAAGGUUAGGUGAGCUUAAGUUGUGUCCUUAGGGAAAGUAUCUUAACCGCUUGAUAAUUCCAAAGAUGCAUGUGAUACUUAGGAGAAUUUGUCGUUGAGUGCCAGGAGAGUAGCUCUUCGUUGUGCAGGAGUUCUGUACUCGGCUCUUGUGAUUGUGACCUGUUGUUUUAAGUAUGCCCAAGGAUUUCGUGUUCAUUGUGAGAAUUAAAACAACUACAGACUUACCUAUGCUGUGGCCACUUAGUUCUGAUGUCGUAGUUCUUCUUAAGGAAUCGCCACAUUUGAUUCAGCCGUCUUCUGAAUUUGGACAUUAUUUAGGUUAUUAUUUCCAAGUGCCGGGAACAUCCUCACAGCUGAAUUAAAUUCUUAGCGCUGGCGUUACUAGGUCAAAGACUGCAUGCUUUCAGGGCUUUUCAGAUACGUUGCCAAGUUGUCCUUUAGAAAACCUGUGUUGUCUUUGACAAUGUGAAAUGGUGCUGUUCUGUGUUUUUCUUGUCUGCCAGUUGGAUAAGUGAAAAAUUAUAUCUCACCAGCUGAUGGCAUUGGUUUUGCACAUGGGAAUCAGUCAGUACCUAACCUGAAGUAUUGAUGUUUCCGUUUUAUCUACAAAAUCACGAUUCAAGGUUAUCCCUGAACCAGUACUGCUAUAAUAUAUAAAGCUCUGUUAGAGAUCAAGAACAAGUCCCCAGACAAUGGAAGAGCUGUCAGAGAACAUGAACGGGCAGUUUAUAGAAAUGCAGAUAUCUGGUGCAGAUACUGCACUUUGUAAGUCAUGAGAUGCAGAUUUAACUGGUGAUUUUCUGUGGGAUUGGCACAGGUGAUCUCACUUGCCUGUGUCCCCUCGAAUCCGGCAGGAAGCGGUGAGAAGCCCCAAGGGAGGGGCACCUGUGGUGGCCUUCUCCCCCGCAGUUUGCUUUUGGUUUUGGCGGUAGGGCGGUAACUGCCAUGUUAAUGUCUCCUGGGUCACGUUGCCGGUACGGUCUUUUAAAGGGGUUUCUAAAAAGAAUCCUUUUCUGAUUGAAGACACAACGAAUUAGAAGUUAUUAAUUAUGUUCUUGAUCCAGGGAAUAUAGUUAACAACUUUUGUGUACACCCCAUACUGGUUUGCUUCCCCACAAUUCAUGGAACCCCAGGACACUAUUCCUCCCACAAACCAUGUCUGUGUCUCGUUAUCUAGAAACACUAAUGCCCCUCCACUGUCCCCUUUGCAGCUGUCCUUGCCUCCGCCUUCUAAGCCAGCGCAAAGCAUGUUUUCCGUCACCCUUCCCCCUGGAUAGGGCUGCUUUUCAUACGCAGCAGUACAUUUCUGAUGAUCGACAGUUGGAAUGUCAACAAACAUUAGACUUCUGGCAAGAAAACCCCUUUGGGUUAAUCCCCAUCCAGACACGGUUCCAAUGUCAUUGGUCCUCGUGAAGGAUUCGGCUUCUUUUCGUGGCAAACAGAUGGGCAGGAUGUUGCUAUUGAUUACAACUCUGUUCUUCAACUUAAUCAGUGCUAUGUCGUUCUCAAAGCCGGCAUCGUGAGUAUAGCCUUCGUGUAUAAAAAUGGCCUCGGCCCAGGCUUGUGUAUAAUGAGCUGACAGCCUCUUCAGGGCACCCAUUCUGAUCUCUAAGGAGGAGGCAUCUUCUUUUUGCUCAUACACAGCGUGAGCAGCCGUGAGGAUCCAGUUGUCCUGUAGGAGCGCGCCUGCUGCCGUAGUUCGACCUAGUAAUAGGACUUGCCAGGGAAAAUCGCCAGGCUUUGCGUUCUGCCCUCCAUAUAUGCGCCCUCUUACGGUGCGAGUUGAUAUUCCACAAACUGGGGGAAGAAGCAGAUACAUAGAGCCUUUAUAGAAACCCAGUGGUGUUUUUUUCCGUAAUCAUUCCCACUUUGGAAUUGCAUCUAUUUAAUAUCCUCCAAAAAUAUCAUCGGGUGAAUUGGUGGGUGUCCACCCACACGGGCAAGUGAGACUGCUUUAAAACGGCACAGUUCGAACCUGAGGAGGAAACCUUUUGGUAUUAGCAUUAGCUCCUCAGAAAAUGAGGUGUAUGAAAAUUAGCUUUUAGAAACUAAUUUGUUUUGCUGAAAUAAUUUGGCCUACACGAUAGGGAGUAUUAAUAGGGCGGACAGGAAUUGUCUGGGCUGAUGUACUGGGGUGAUGUGAUUACAAAUCCAGUGAAAGGAAAUAACCUUUUCAUUGCUUCUGUUUUCCUGCUUGUAAAAUGGGGUAUUUACCCUGUAGUUCUGGGAAAGCAGGAACUAAGGUCACUGUUGCAGGAUUUGCAAAAUCACUUUCGCCUUUGAACAUUUAAACGUUUUGCAAAUCAGAAUGUUGGCAGUUGUAGCCAGGAACCUUCAGGUUCGGAAAUUACUAUUUUAGUCUAGUUGGUUCUUCCAAACUAAAUUUUCCUGUGUGUGUUGCUAACCAAAUACACUCAUUAAUGUAGCAAAUAUGUCUCCUGUUGUGGCAGAAUACUUGCACUAAAACGUACAAAUGUUGUGUCAGCUAAGAUGUAGUUUUUUUAAGAAAACUAAUUUAAGCCAGAUAACGCAGGAGUAAUGAAUACAUUAUUACCUUUCUGAUUUUUUUUUGAAUCGCUGUACUCAACUACAUCUUCAGAGCCAAUUCUGGCAAAAAAAAAAAUUUUGGGGGGGUACUAUUCAAAAGGCAGAUUGCAUUAAUGUUUAAAAACUAGAUGUCGUUGAAAACAGUUGCUUAGGGAAAUGAGUUAUUAGCUUUGGGUUUUAAUAGUUUCACAGAGAAGAAAAAGUUAACUCCACAGCAGGACUUGUGUUUAUAAAUGUAAAUGGUUCAAGAUAAUUCUUAAAAUCGUUUCAUUUUUUACGCUCGCCUAGUUGUGAAGUCAAAAAUAAUCCAAUGACUGACGUGCAGUCGGCACCUAGCAGCCCCUCCGCAUGGAAAGGGGAGAGUGAGAACGUGUUAUCUGGAAAUAAUAACUUGGUGUAAGAGCCAAGUGCUGAGGUUCCAUUUCUGCCCAACACCAGCCAGAGCGCUCGCCUCCCACCCAGCUGUACUUUCCAUCAAUUACUCGUCUCUUGUGUAAAUGUAUCCAUUACCAGGCUCACAGACUGGGAGCGAUUUUUCUCCUUUGGAGCUCGUCCAGAAUCCAUCAGCCCCACACACAUAUUUACCUGCAAAUCAUUGGAAAAGCAAAAAUGUUUAACUGCAUGGAGAAGGUGGUUGUCAUUUGCUUGAAUAGCCCCUUGAAGAAUGUUGAUUCUGGAGCAUCAUCGGGAAAGAGAGGUGUCUGAAUAACCAUUUUACAUGAUUUCAUAAAUAGGUCUCUGCAUUAACCAUGUUUGCUUGCAAAGUGGAAACCUUUUAGAUGUGUAACUUGAAUAUGUAUCAAGAUCUCAAGUGCUUAAUGAUAAGGUUUUGACUUGUUAAAUUAAACCAUUUGGAAUAUA